GUAUAUACACUGUACUAUAGGCUUUGGGCCGUAAGUACAGAUCUAACACAAUUGUAUUGAAUUUAAAUAAAGAUUAGAUGUAUGUUUUCAUGUUUCUCCCUCAUCUUUGGUGGAAUUUGCCUAGGUGUUAUGUUAUCGUGCCAACCGCACAUCAUAACCUACAAAUUUACAUAUGGUUACCACGGGCACAGUUACUAACGACUUUUUUCUAUUUUUGUUUUGGAUACGGUGGUCAACAGCAGAGGAACUCACCAAGCAGAACGUGAACGACAGUUCUAGAAGAGAUCAUACAUUUUGUGCUGCUAGACGGUGAUCUCGAGCCUCUAACUGAACACAAUGGGCGUGUGCGGUUCUCAGCUUGCUAGUGAGAGAAACGAGUUCCACAUCAAACAACUUAAAGAUAAAGAUGAAAUCAUAUCGCAUCUGAAGGUAAAGACGACAAAACUUGAAGGUGACAAAGAAACCUUGGAACGGAACGAGAUUAUAAAGGAUAACCAAUUGAAGCAAACGAAUGAGCAACUUCGACAACUUCGAAGCGAAAACGAUACCCUCAAAGCUGAGAUCAAGAAAUCUCCGACAGUUUCAGAAUCCGUUGGAAAUAUAGCAAAACAGACGGGGGACUAUAUUGGAGGAUGGAUGGGAUUAACAAAAUAGACUUGCUAGAGUUUUGCCUAAUUCAUGUUGUGCUAGAUUUACAGAUAAGAUUCUCUAGUAUUCAACGUCGUGAACUCAGAACCGUUGAAUAGACUGAAAGUUAUUGCAUGAUGUGUUAUAUCACUCCAUAAAUAUAUAUUCCGUCAAGUGUAAACUCAUUAUCAUACACACUUAAUUACACUAAUCUUUCAGUAUUCGCAUCUCUGUAACAAUCGAUUGAGAAAUAAGUAUCGUUGGCCUUAAGUAGAUAAUUGUUUUAACUUAACCCGUAACAUGUUCGUUGACUGUCAUGGUGCAUGUUUGUUGUUUUUGGACAACACGUGUAUUUGUGUACCCUGCUUCUGUUUCGCAGAAGUCCCAUGGCAAUCAGCGAGGUGUGCUAGAACAUGGCAAAAUAUAUCAUUGAAAUAAAUGACCUUCUUAAAACAUAACAUUAUAAUUAAUAAUCAAACUUUUUGAAAAGUGACCUACUGUCAAAAUUGCUAGUAAUUUACAACCAUAUUUUUGACGAAAUUUGUGGGAAAUCGGAACGCCUUUUUCUGAACUAAAUUCAGGACGAACAAAUUGGUAGAAUGGUGUUAAACCUUCCGUGUUUUGGCAUUUAAGGUC